CCUACGGGUGGCAGCAGUGAGGAAUAUUGGUCAAUGGACGAGAGUCUGAACCAGCCAAGUAGCGUGAAGGAUGACUGCCCUAUUGGUUGUAAACUUCUUUUAUAAAGGAAUAAAACGGGGCACGUGUGCAUUUUUGCAUGUCCUUUAUGAAUAAGGAUGGGCUAUCUACGUCCCCGCAGCAGCGGUAAUCCGGUGGAUCAGAUCGUUCUCCGGAUUUAUUGGGUUUAAGGGGAGCGUAGAUGGGUUGUAAAGUCAGUUGUGAAAGUUUGCGGCUCAACCGUAAAAUUGCAAUUGAUACUGGCAGUCUUGAGUACAGUUGAGGUAGGCGGAAUUCGUGGUGUAGCGGUGAAAUGCUUAGAUAUCACGAAGAACCCCGAUUGCGAAGGCAGCUUACUAAACUGUGACUGACAUUGAUGCUCGAAAGUGUGGGUAUCAAACAGGAUUAGAUACCCCUGUAGUC
rnacentral:rRNA from 1 species